UACGUAGGUGGCAAGCGUUGUCCGGAUUUACUGGGCGUAAAGGGUGCGCAGGCGGCCGAGUGUGUCAGAUGUGAAAUCCCGAGGCUCAACCUCGGAACUGCGUCUGAAACUACUCGGCUAGAGUAUUGGAGAGGGUAACGGAAUUCACGGUGUAGCAGCGAAAUGCGUAGAUAUCGUGAGGAACACCAGAGGCGAAGGCGGUUACCUGGACAAUUACUGACGCUCAGGCACGAAGCGUGGGGAGCAAAAGGG
rnacentral:rRNA from 1 species